GGAUCAUUGUCGAAGUCGCAUGACGUUCGUCACACCCGUGCACCCGUCUGUAGGUAUUCUUCCUACGUACUCGAAACACGCUGGCGGACGUAUGGCAUGAAAGGAGAUAGAUAUACACACACACAACUUUCAGCAACGGAUCUCUUGGCUCUCGCAUCGAUGAAGAACGCAGCGAAUUGCGAUAAGUAAUGUGAAUUGCAGAUUUUCAGUGAAUCAUCGAAUCUUUGAACGCACCUUGCGCUCCUUGGUAUUCCGAGGAGCAUGUCUGUUUGAGUGUCGUCGUGUUCUCAACCAAGGCGUUUGGCUUGGACGUGGAGGCUGCCGGCGGAGGUCGGCUCCUCUGAAAUGCAUUCGCGAUGGGACCCACUACGGCCUUCCGGCGUGAUAGCGACCGCGACCGUCGAGGGGCUGGACCGGGUUCGAUCGCUUCCAAUAUGUUAAGCCUGACCUCAAAUCAGGCAGGACUACCCGCUGAACUUAAGCAUAUCAAUAAGCGGAGGAAAAGAAACUAACAAGGAUUCCCCUAGUAACUGCGAGUGAAGCGGGAAGAGCUCAAAUUUCGAAUCUGGCGGCGUGUCUUUGCCGUCCGAGUUGUAAUCUAGAGAAGCGUGUUCCAGCACGGGACCGUGUACAAGUCUCCUGGAAGGGAGCAUCAUAGAGGGUGAGAAUCCCGUCUUUGACACGGAGCCCGGUGCGGUGUGACGCGCUCUCGACGAGUCGAGUUGUUUGGGAAUGCAGCUCAAAACGGGUGGUAAAUUCCAUCUAAAGCUAAAUAUGGGCGAGAGACCGAUAGCGAACAAGUACCGUGAGGGAAAGAUGAAAAGAACUUUGGAAAGAGAGUUAAACAGUACGUGAAAUUGCUGAAAGGGAAACGCUCGAGGUCAGUCGCGUCGUGCGGGGAUCAACCUUGCCCUGCGGGGUGCACUUCCCGCGCGACGGGUCAGCGUCAGUCUCGCUCGGCGUACAAGGGCGGAGGGAAGGUGGCACUCUCCGGGGUGUGUUAUAGCCUUUCGCCGGACGCGUCGGCCGGGACUGAGGUGCUCGGCACGGCCCCCAGCGGGUCUGUCG
rnacentral:rRNA from 1 species